rnacentral:rRNA from 1 species
CCUACGGGCGGCAGCAGUGAGGAAUAUUGGUCAAUGGACGAGAGUCUGAACCAGCCAAGUAGCGUGAAGGAUGACUGCCCUAUGGGUUGUAAACUUCUUUUAUAUGGGAAUAAAACAGGGUAUGCAUACCCUCUUGUAUGUACCAUAUGAAUAAGGAUCGGCUAACUCCGUGCCAGCAGCCGCGGUAAUACGGAGGAUGCGAGCGUUAUCCGGAUUUAUUGGGGUUAAAGGGUGCGCAGGCGGCGUGUCAAGUCAGCAGUAAAAUGUCGGGGCUCAACCCCGGCCGGCCGGUGAAACUGGCGUGCUGGAGUGGGAGAGAAGUAUGCGGAAUUCGUGGUGUAGCGGUGAAAUGCAUAGAUAUCACGAAGAACCCCGAUUGCGAAGGCAGCAUACCGGAUCCAAACUGACGCUGAGGCACGAAAGCGUGGGUAUCGAACAGGAUUAGAUACCCGGGUAGUC